rnacentral:lncRNA from 1 species
GUGACCACAAAGACCUAAGUCAGGUGACCAGCCAAUACCAUCACAGUGACCACAAAGACCUAAAUUAGGUGACCAGCCAAUACCAUCACAGUGACCACAAAGACCUAAGUUAGGUGACCAGCCAAUACCAUCACAGUGACCACAAAGACCUAAGUUAGGUGACCAGCCAAUACCAUCAUAGUGACCAGAAAGACCUAAGUUAGGUGACCAGCCAAUACCAUCACAGUGACCACAAAGACCUAAGUCAGGUGACCAGCCAAUACCAUCACAGUGACCACAAAGGGCCAAAAGCUCAAAGAUGUGGCAGAGUGUAAGACUGCAAGGUGGGAGCACCAUAACCAUCCCGAGGGAGGAAGAUAUUUGAGGGUCGGGCUCCUUAUUGGAGUGAUCUCUUCCAGUGCAGGGGUCGCUAGAGGUUCUCUAAGGGAGACUGGGUUUGAGCUGAGGUUUGAGGUGUGGAUUUCAUUUCAAGAGGCAGGGAAGGGAAAUUGUGCCUUUUACAGGUGAGAUUGUCGGAAUGAGUAAAUUUACAAGACCAGGAUAAGGACAAAUAGGUUUCUCAGAAAGUAAUGCCAGAUCAUCCAAAGAACUUUGACUGAAAAUUGUUUGGAGAAGCAGGAAUGGAGAUUAGGAAAGAGGACCAGGCUUGAAGUUCAGAUCCUUGCAGGAGAGAACUUGCUAUCAAGGGCCAUCUCACCGUAUGUAUAGGUGCCUGCGGUCCUGUUUUUCCUGCGUCUUUCAAGCACUUCUCCCCAUUCCCCACGAUUCGUCAGUCUUUGCCACCUGGGAAGGUGCUAUGUGAUUUCCACAGAGUGGUCAGAAUAAUCUCCCGAAGAGCUUUUGGAAAGCCCCAGGCCCUUUGUGGCACUUGCCAGGGACAGAGCUUUCAACCUCCAGGGGCCAAAAAUCACAUCGUAUUCUAGGUGAAUUUUGCCCCCUUGGAGCGCACCUCCCUAGAAUGUGAGACCGUUAGCGCCCCCUGCUGUCUGGG